CCUAACCUCAUUUGAGGGAUGGCAGGUGCGAGGGAAGCAUCUCUACUCCAAGGUUGAUUUCUUUGGUGUAUUUGGUGAGCCCUGAUCCUUGGAAAGGGUGCCAGGGUGAAGAACUAUGAAGAAAUUCUCCUGCAGAAGCUGGCAGCCCAUGGCUUGGACAGGCAGAUGAGAGCCAAAGGCAGAGUUCUGUGUGAGAAUUUUCGAGAGGAUGUCCACCUUGCAGUGGUCUUUCAGAGGCUGAAGUAUCUGCUGAUGAAAGA